rnacentral:rRNA from 1 species
CCUACGGGGGGCAGCAGUGGGGAAUAUUGGACAAUGGGGGCAACCCUGAUCCAGCCAUGCCGCGUGUGUGAAGAAGGCCCUCGGGUUGUAAAGCACUUUCAGUGAGGAAGAACGCCUGGUGGUUAAUACCCAUCAGGAAAGACAUCACUCACAGAAGAAGCACCGGCUAACUCCGUGCCAGCAGCCGCGGUAAUACGGAGGGUGCGAGCGUUAAUCGGAAUUACUGGGCGUAAAGCGCGCGUAGGUGGCUUGAUAAGCCGGUUGUGAAAGCCCCGGGCUCAACCUGGGAACGGCAUCCGGAACUGUCCAGCUAGAGUGCAGGAGAGGAAGGUAGAAUUCCCGGUGUAGCGGUGAAAUGCGUAGAGAUCGGGAGGAAUACCAGUGGCGAAGGCGGCCUUCUGGACUGACACUGACACUGAGGUGCGAAAGCGUGGGUAGCAAACAGGAUUAGAUACCCGAGUAGUC